CUAAGCAUAGAUAUAUCAGGGGAAG
rnacentral:piRNA from 1 species